AACUAAGUUUGUCAUUGGUAUGAGCUUUCAUGUGCAUGCACACUUCUUCAGAUACCAUCUUCACACUUCUUCAGAUACCAUCUGGAGAAGUGUGCAUGCACACGAAAGCUCAUACCAAUGACAAACUUAGUUGG